UGGGGAAUUUUGGACAAUGGGCGAAAGCCUGAUCCAGCAAUGCCGCGUGUGUGAAGAAGGCCUUCGGGUUGUAAAGCACUUUUGUCCGGAAAGAAAUCCUUGGCUCUAAUACAGCCGGGGGAUGACGGUACCGGAAGAAUAAGCACCGGCUAACUACGUGCCAGCAGCCGCGGUAAUACGUAGGGUGCAAGCGUUAAUCGGAAUUACUGGGCGUAAAGCGUGCGCAGGCGGUUUGCUAAGACCGAUGUGAAAUCCCCGGGCUCAACCUGGGAACUGCAUUGGUGACUGGCAGGCUAGAGUAUGGCAGAGGGGGGUAGAAUUCCACGUGUAGCAGUGAAAUGCGUAGAGAUGUGGAGGAAUACCGAUGGCGAAGGCAGCCCCCUGGGCCAAUACUGACGCUCAUGCACGAAAGCGUGGGGAGCAAACAGGAUUAGAUACCCUGGUAGUCCACGCCCUAAACGAUGUCAACUAGUUGUUGGGGAUUCAUUUCCUUAGUAACGUAGCUAACGCGUGAAGUUGACCGCCUGGGGAGUACGGUCGCAAGAUUAAAACUCAAAUGAAUUGACGGGGUCAUAGCUGUUUCCU
rnacentral:rRNA from 1 species